rnacentral:lncRNA from 1 species
UCUAAUCUAACACCUAUCCACAAGUACACAAGGUUCACAUAACGAGAUGGGAUCUCAGUCCUCAUCCGGGUCGUAUUCGGGAUCAUCAUCCCAAUCCUCCUCAGACUCUUCUUCACUAAGUUCGUUUUCUUCAAGCUCUUCAUCCUCUGCUCGCUCGUCAUCAGGGUCAUCCAACAGACAAUCCUCCUCCGGUCCCUCUACGAACCUGAAAUGGUUAUUCAAUAACCCAUGAGACCACGUCUAAGCGAGUUCUACCCCUUAAGACCCGAUUAGUAAACCAAUACGCCAUAUGGUUGCCUAAGCACAACACGAGUCAGAGAACUUACCUUGGUCUCAGUCCCAACCUGUAAUUUAAGGUUAUACAAAGAUGCUUCAUAUAUCACAUCAAACAUUCAAUCAAUUCACGACAACAGAUCAAAUCGUUGAUCAAUCGACUUUGUCGAUUACAUGUCAGUCGAACCAUCUCUAAGUCAUUCCCACUCAUACCAUGAUUCCCAGAUGGUGUACUCAUUCACCAAAUCACAUGUGUUUCUCGGGUGUCGUUUUCGCCAAUGACAUACCGAUCACCGACACCGUGCGUUCUUUAAGUCGCCAUUUUCACCAGUGAUAUCCUCGAUCACCGAACCACGUGUCCUUUCUAGGGCGCCGUUUUCGCCAAGGUGACAUCGGCAAUAGACAACAUCGUGAGUUCUUUAAGGCGUCGUUUUCACCAGUGAUAUUUCCUUAAUCACCGAACCACGUUUGUCUAUAAGUCAUUCACGUGCGUUCUUUAAGGCACCGUUUUCACCAGUGAUACUUCCAAUUACCGAACCAAGUAUGUCCAAUAAUAUCGUACUUGAUUGGUCUCAUCCAAUAACAUUCUCAGUUAGCUCUCACCAUUCUCUCUACUAUAUAGCCCAUCAACGUAACUGGCACUAUAUACCUAUACUCGGCCAUCUACCAAUCAAAUAUUCAGUAACAAACAAUUUAGGACAAAUUCUCAAAUUUCACAAUUUACAUCAAUUCUAUAUAAAUUGAAGCUCAAUUAAAUAAACGAACUGCACCACGACAAUCAGCACGAAAUUCCGGUCACCGGCCAUCCCGAUUGAAUUUCUGGAAAAAUAAUUAAUUAAAUAAUUAAUUUAGAAAAUUAAAUAAAUAAAUAAUAAUAAAUCCAAUUUAGGCCCGUAUUGCCUGAUUGGAGCCUGAAACGGGUCGGGAAAACCCCGAGAUACAUUCAAUAAAUGUUAGAAGCUCUCUACUUGCUAGUGACUAAGUCUAACCACCUAACAUGCAUCAUUAAGUCACUAAUUUAAUUGUUCUUACCUAAUUUAACCACCUAAUUGCACUUAAUUAAAUCUAACCAACCCUUAGGCAUAAUUAGCAAACUAAGAAAGCAUUAGUGAGUAAAACUCACUUGGUAAAAGCAGAGACCGAAUCACCGCGACGGCGGCCGAAAUCGGGCUUUCGACAACACAGGCAGGCUUGGACCGGGCCUUGAACUUGGUCCAACAAAUCUCAGCCCAACUGAGAUUUGUUCUUGCUUUUGGGUUGGACCCAAGUUGGGUUGGGCCUGCUGAAGAUGGGCUUCAAGUUGUGGGCUGGGCUGCAAUUGAUUUGCUAUAAUUGGGCCCACUCUUGGGCUGUCCUCGCGGGCUUCUGAUUUUGCUGGGCUUCGAAGUUGAAUUCACUGGGCCUGACUUGCAGCCCAAAUGGACUAAAUCUUAGCGGCCCAAGACGUUGGAAUUUGCUGGGCUGAGUGAGGGCUGAUGCUUCGUGAAUGGGCUGCUCAUGGCCUGGACUUCUUGCGGACUCACGGGCUGGAGAAAUGCUUCGCGCGAGAGACACGGACGAACGACAGGGGGAAGCUACUUCAUGCGAUUGACGUUGCUAGAGAAGACCGAGGCUGGACUCGCUGGCGUCUUCGAGCUGGCCGAAAUCCACGAGAUGGAGAUGGUUGGAUCGACUGACGCUGGCAGCUGGGAGACAUGUGCUGCUGCUUGGUCAACAUAAGCUUAGGUGCUUGCUGUUGUUGACCAAAGAUGAUGUGUGGAGAGGCGCCUGGCUUCUCUGGACGUCGUGGCUGAAGAUGACUGCACUCAGUGGAGCUGGACGAAGCGCAGCAACUUCAGUGAACACCUGGGGACUUCGCUUGAAGGGAUUCACCGCAGUUGACCGAGAAGGCAAAAGAAGGUGGAGCAGGGUGAGCUGGUCGUGCGAGAGGGGCAAGCGGCAAAGGAAGAGAGACCACGAUUCUGGUCUUCGGUUAGGGAGGGCUUUGACCGAGCAGCUUGGAGAUUCGGCAGCUUAGAGGAAAAUCGUGGGGGCUUCGAGCAAUUUUGACUGUGGGCGUGAGAGAGGGCAGAAAUGGAGAGUUUGUCUGCCAAGGUAAAUAAAGAAAGGAAGGCAAGGGGCUGCUCGUAGGGAAGGCAUCCGAUUGAAGAAGAUGGAAAGAAUUGGGGAAAAAG